UGGGGAAUUUUGCGCAAUGGAGGCAACUCUGACGCAGCAACGCCGCGUGCGGGAUGAAGGCCCUCGGGUUGUAAACCGCUUUCAGCAGGGAAGACUUCGACUGUACCUGCAGAAGAAGCCCCGGCUAACUACGUGCCAGCAGCCGCGGUAAUACGUAGGGGGCGAGCGUUAUCCGGAUUCAUUGGGCGUAAAGCGCGCGUAGGCGGCUCGCCAAGCGGGAUCUCAAACCUGAGGGCUCAACCCCCAGCAGGAUCCCGGACUGGCGGGCUCGAGUUCGGUAGGGGAAGGCGGAACUCCCAGUGUAGCGGUGAAAUGCGCAGAUAUUGGGAGGAACACCGAUGGCGAAGGCAGCCUUCUGGGCCGUAACUGACGCUGAGGUGCGAAAGCUAGGGGAGCGAACAGG
rnacentral:rRNA from 1 species